UACGGAGGGUGCGAGCGUUGUCCGGAAUCAUUGGGCGUAAAGGGCGCGUAGGUGGCUUUGUAAGUUUGCGGUGAAAGCCCGGGGCUCAACCCCGGGUCUGCCGUGAAUACUGCAAGGCUUGAGUACUGUAGAGGCAGGUAGAAUAUCGGGUGUAGCGGUGGAAUGCGUAGAGAUCCGAUAGAAGACCGGUGGCGAAGGCGGCCUGCUGGGCAGUAACUGACACUGAGGCGCGACAGCGUGGGGAGCAAACAGG
rnacentral:rRNA from 1 species